rnacentral:misc_RNA from 1 species
AAGAUCACAUCUCGCGAAAAGUAAUGAUUAUUUCUGUCCGCGGGCGUUUAGUUCCGCAUACUCCCGCGGUGGCGCUGUGCACGGGACUCCGACCGCGAAUACGUACCUCGUUAUAUGGAUUUUAAAACGUAUUAAGACUAUUGUAAAUUGAUAAAUUGCGUGUUAAAAUAUAUCGGAGUGAAAUCUUAACAAACCGUGUUGCGUGGCUGUGCGUUAAAUACAUAAGUCGUUGUGUCUGGGCGUAUCGCGAUGCUGGGUCGCUCGGCCCGUGUCGUCCAUUAGAAACGAUUUUCCAGGGGCAGUGGAGGGUGUGCGAGAUAAAACGGAAAAUUCCCCAGUGCGCUAGGAGUAGUGUGCAGGCUAGAUGUGGUGGGUCCGAUGAGUGUUGUUGCAACAUGUACGAGUGCACGAGUGUAUCGACCGCGCCGACACCACGGCUGGCUGUUUUCCAAAGUCGCGUCGUGCGCGCUCGCCCGACUCUACACGCUUAACGAGAUAAUCGCAAACGAUUUCGCACUGAACUCUGGUUUAAACUAUUGUUAUGAGUGUUAGCACGCACAAUGUCCGCUGUUCCGACCGCUCAGUGCGGCCAUAUCAUCUAGAAACAAAACGAGCCCACUAAAUGGCGUUUGGGAAGAUUCUCACUGUGCUGGUCGUGGUAGCCAUCGUACUUGGCGACCAUGAGGUCGAAAAAGAGAAUAAAACAAAGAAAACCGUGGAGGCGGAGACGCAACAGAAGUAUAGGAGUGCAAAUCCGGGGAAGGAGCGAGGUUCUUUCCACAAGCUCACCAGUCUCAUGAACAGGACGGAUGAUAGACGGCAGUCGCGGAGGGGCGACAAGACGUUAGCCGUCGACAAGCUGCUGCGGCUCAACCAGAAGAACAAGUACAACGCCAUGCUGAACGACAACGAAGGAGCCAUCGCGAUCAACCAGAAGACCUUCACGGACAACGAGACCGUCUCCCUCAACGAGAAGAUGAAGAUAUUACGGCCAAAUGGGCCAAUGUACGAGGCUGUUAAUAAGAACCCCUAUAUUUCUCAAGCUACGGGGGUUUACUGUAACUUUGAGAAGAAUGGCACGGAGAAUCCUGCGAAUAUGUGCAUGUGGCAGUGGAAUUCCACGGUAUCCAGCCACGGGUUGGGCUUCAAGGUGGUGACGGCUGCUGAUGUGGUCUCCAUGAACCAGACUACUAGAGGCAUGAAGUUCUCAGGACCUGCGCAUGAUGCUGACGGCAAUGUGGACGGUCAUUUCCUGUACCUGGCCGUGGAUCCUACGAUGGAGAACAUGGUGAUAAAGUCACCGCCAUUCAGAGGACUGUGGGAGUUCUGUAAGUUCGAAGCGAAACUCCACCAGAGUAAGAUGCAGAACGCGAGCAUCCGCCUCGUGUCCGAGUCUACCAUGUCCGGAGUGCAGUGGAUACUGCAGGAGGUAGCUGGGAAUAACUUCGAAAUUUGGCAUCCAAUGCGCUUCAUGAUAGGCAAGGUGCAGCAGGAAAUCCGGAUUAUCAUAGAGAUCACACGUCCGACCUACGUGAGCCUCUCGCAGACACUGCCGCACAUUGCCAUAGACAAUAUACGCAUGAUAGAGUGCGUGCCGGAACCGCCCGUGUUCAAUGGCGAGUGUGUGGCGGGACAGCUGAAGUGUCAGAUUAUGAAUAAAUAUUCGUGCAUCAAGCUGCAGCAAGUUUGCGAUCUAGUCAAGGAUUGUGAUGACGGAAGCGAUGAAGUGCAGAAUUGUGACAAAAUGCCAUUCGGAUCGUACUGCAACUUCGAGCAAGAUACCUGCGGGUUUGAGAAUGUACCUCAGCCAAUCCUCAGAUGGUCCCGCCACAACGGGCCAACCCCCACUGAGAAGACGGGCCCCAACCACGAUCACACAUGCCACAUCGGGCCCACUCUCCCCCAUCCCACCAUGAUAGUCCCACUCCUCCCCGCCCACCUCAGCGCCCAAUGCGUCGGCUACUACUUCUACGUCAACAUGAACGUAACUGGUCCCAAUAAGGAGAAAGCUGACUUCGCGUCCACGGCUGUCAUGAGAACAGUCAUUUUUAAUCCUCCCCCGAAAGUCCACGGGAAUAUUACGUCGAGAUAUUAUAAUUGUUGUAUGAUAAGAUUCUACUACCAACAAAACGGUCGCAACUACGGCUCGUUAAGCGUUAACCUGGUGGAACUUACCAACCGCGGCAACAUCACCACUUCUCUCUGGUUCAGUACCAAGGACAAGGGAGAGUACUGGUACAGGGCGUCUAUGUUCCUGCCUAAUGUUACUAGAAGAUACUUCCUAGAAUUCAAAACCCGCAUGGGCAUGCGGAUAUACUCAGACUCGGCUAUAGACGACUUUUCUAUGGCGCCGGAGUGUUUCGGGCUGAACAUAGACCCCGCGGAGCUAGGGGACUACAAUUAUUAUGACCCCUCGUUUGAGGAGAAGACGACUCCACAUCCGGCGUUCGUUGAUAAGCCAUUCUAUCGCUUCUCAACAUGCGGAGCUACCGGUCGCUUCGGUCCGAACCAGACGAUGUGUGACGUCGCGUACAACAACACACCAGUGUCUGUGAGCGUUAUACAGAACCCGCCUUAUCAGGGCAUACAGCUGUGGGAGGUGCCUGCUGAGGGAUUGUAUACGUUAAUAGCGACAGGAGCUAGCGGAGGCCUGGGGUCAGCUUGGGCUGGAGUAUCGCACGCAGCCGCGGUGCGAGCGCUGGUCGAACUGCACAAGAGCGAGAGAGUCUACAUACUGAUUGGACAGCAAGGACUCAAUGCUUGUAAGAAGACCCUCUCAGCCCAAGAAGGUCAGCACGAAUGCUCCCGUCGCCAAGCCAACGAGACCCGCAUGGAGUUCACCAGCAAGACGCAUGAAGUCAGGAACACUAAUGUCAGUGACGGAGGAGGAGGGGGCGGUGGUGCAACUUAUGUAUUCUUGUUGGACAAAGACGGCCAAGCGUUCCCUCUGCUAGUAGCGGGAGGAGGGGGAGGGUUGUCCGUCGGCAGUUUCCGAGAUGAUGGAUCCCAGCAUGCCAGACCCCUGACUAACGCGACCCCGGAGUCUGGGUAUAUGUAUGGACAGCCUGGAAAGACUUCAGGUGCUGGCGGAGGCUGGCUAGCGCGUUCAGGUCCCAUGACUCCUGGCUUCGAGCUGGUCCGAGGGGCAGCCUUACAUGAAGGUGGGGCGGGAGGAGCCGCGUGUGAUGGUGAAGCGCACGGAGGGUUCGGCGGUGGAGGAGGUGGAUGUUUGAGGGGCGGCGGGGGAGGAGGUUGGCUUGGCGGCAACACGAACGAAGGCGGCGGUGCUCACGGCGGCGGCGGCUGGUCGUACAUCGCGCCGCGCGCCGAGCGCCACUACAGCGACGUGGGCGUCGCGCCCCGCACCGGCCCCGGGGAGCUGCUCAUAUUCCCUGCUAUACACGAUUGUGACUGCGACUACCGUUGCGUGGCUCUGAACGAGUACCGCAGCGAGGUGAAGUGCUACUGUCCCGCCACGUGGACUACUGAUGCUCAUGAUCCUACCAAGUGUAUAUUGGAGGACGCGUGGCCACGUACUCCAUGGGUGGUCAUCAUCGUGCUGUCGGUGGCUGUGUUCGUGUGUGCUCUGGCAGUCCUGUGCGUCUGUCUGUAUCUAUCAUUCCGAUCUUCAGACAACACAUACCAACGGAAGAAGGAAGCUGAACAGCAACAGAAGCGGCUCCUCGAACAGGAUGUCCAGCUCCAACGACUGAGGAGUGCUCCGGGAGGGAAUGAUAACCUCACCAUGGCUUUCAACCCUCAUUAUGGAAGUGAGAGCAUAUUGCCGCAAGGCAUCGAUGUUAGGGGACUGCCGCAGGUGUCUAGAGAGAGUUUGAAGCUCGUCAAGGCUCUAGGCCAGGGUGCGUUCGGAGAAGUCUACCAAGGUCUGUACCGUCACCGCACAGGAGACACGGUGGAAAUGCCAGUAGCUGUCAAGACGUUACCAGAACUGUCCACAGGACAAGCGGAGUCUGACUUCCUUAUGGAGGCAGCCAUCAUGGCCAAGUUUAGCCAUCCGAACAUUGUGCACCUCAUUGGCGUGUGCUUUGAUAGGCAUCCCAGGUUCAUAGUCCUGGAGCUGUUAGCUGGUGGGGACUUGAAGAACUUCCUCCGCGAGAGUAGACCGAAGCCCGAGCGGGCCAGCGCCCUCACUAUGAAGGACUUGCUGCUUUGCUCCAUCGAUGUCUGCAAGGGUUGCCGGUAUCUGGAGAGCAAGAGGUUUAUACACAGGGACAUAGCAGCACGGAAUUGCCUGCUAACAUCCCGGGGCCCGGGACGCGUGGUGAAGAUCGCGGACUUCGGGAUGGCCCGGGACAUCUACCGGUCUGACUACUACAAGAAGGGCGGGAAGGCCAUGCUGCCUAUCAAGUGGAUGCCACCAGAAGCUUAUAUUGAUGGCGUCUUUACUAUCAAAACUGAUGUUUGGUCAUUCGGUGUGCUGCUUUGGGAGGUAUUCUCUUUAGGCGUGAUGCCGUACACCGGCUGCGCCAACAGGGAGGUCAUGGAGAUGGUCUCCGGAGGAGGGAGGUUAGAGAAACCUUAUGGGUGUCCACAAGAGAUCUACAGGCUGAUGUGCGAGUGCUGGAACCCGACGCCCGGCGAGAGACCCUCCUUCGCGCACAUGUACGAGAGGAUGCAGCGGUUUGUGCAGGACCCAGCGAUAGUAAGCGCUCCGCUGCCAAUAGUGCGGUCUCUAUUACCGCCGCACACAGAGAUGCCAACCAACGCCAAUGGGCCGCAGCCCAACGGAACCGCUGGUCCCUCAUAGCAAAUCGCAAACGGUGGCGCAGGAACAACCAGAAACGGAGGAUUCACAAUAUCCACCUCUUCUGAAAGCAUCACAAGAAUAUGGCAACAUUCCAAUGGCGUCCCGGAGCGGCGCAAACGCAACAAAACGAGAUGCCUCCGCUAUCUCCGUCGCCGAGACAAGGACCACAACAAAGUUUCUGCCGUCUAACUCUACAGAUAG